rnacentral:rRNA from 1 species
GGCUUAAUGUCUUGUAAUUGGAAUGAUGGGAAUUUAAACCUCUUCCAGAGUAUCAAUUGGAGGGCAAGUCUGGUGCCAGCAGCCGCGGUAAUUCCAGCUCCAAUAGCGUAUAUUAAAAUUGUUGCAGUUAAAAAGCUCGUAGUUGAAUUUCUGCUGCAUUGCUUUUGCUCCUUUACGAGUCUUUGCAUUGUGGCUUAUUUCGGACUUUGUUUUACAAUGUCCGGAUGUUUACUUUGAGAAAAUUAGAGUGCUCAAAGCAGGCUUUCGCCUUGAAUAGUUUAGCAUGGAAUAAUAAAGUAGGACUUUGGUUCUAUUUUGUUGGUUUUAGGUACCAAAGUAAUGGUUAAUAGGAACAGUUGGGGGC